GCCGAGUUGGCACCUCCGUAUAUGAUAAUGAUGGGAAUAUUAAUUAUAUUCAUUCCACUUGAAAUUUUAACCAUAGAAGAAGCUUUUCAUGGAUUUGCUGAUGAAGCUAUGCUUGCAGUGGCAAUUUUAUUCAUUGUUGCCAAAGGUACUGUUUAACACAUCAAAUAGGUAGUAAUUUAGACUUAGUAUAUCUUGUACUUUUGGCUGUAUUUUUAACAUCAAUUUAUUUUUCCUUUAUUGCUAAAGAAAUAUUUACCUCCUGAUUAACAUGUGCUUGCAUAUAUAUAUAUAUAUAUAUAUAUAUUUAUAUUUAUAUAUGAAAAUGUAUGUUUAAAACAAAUUAGGUAUUGAACAAUCUGGAGGUUUGGAAUAUGUUUCAUCAAUGUUAUUUAGUACAAAAAAAGAUAUCAUAAAACCAGGCCAACAUAUAACAAAGACAAAAAAUAGUAUUGUAUGGGUGCUUGUAAAAUUCACUGUCCCAGUGGCUUUGUUCAGUGCAUUUCUUGCCAAUAUUCCAUUGGUAGCAAUGAUGAUACCACCCAUUGUGGAAUACUCAAAAAAGGUCUAAAUUUUGUUAUAGCUUUGAACCCAAAUCCUAAAAAAUAUAUAGAUACAUUUUUUUUUAUCUAUUGCAAAAAAUAAUAAUAAUAACUCUUUUAUUAAAGAAAUCAGUGUAAUAUUCUAAUCAGAAGACCUUAAAAUAUUUUAAAAGCUUAUUUACAUAAAAAUGAUGUUGAAUUACUUCAAGAAUGUUUUUGAACAAUGAACAUGGAUUUGCUUCCAGGUUAAUAUGGCUCCGUCAAAACUCUUAUUGCCACUAAGUUUUGCGGCAUUGUUAGGCGGUACUAUGACUCUUAUAGGAUCAAGCACCAACCUCGUAGUAUUAU
rnacentral:lncRNA from 1 species